GUGAAAUUCCGUCGGAAUCUGGGAGGACCAUCUCCUAAGGCUAAAUACUCUCUAGUGACCGAUAGUGAACCAGUACCGUGAGGGAAAGGUGAAAAGCACCCCGGAAGGGGAGUGAAAUAGAACCUGAAACCGUGUGCUUACAAGUAGUCAGAGCCCGUUAAUGGGUGAUGGCGUGCCUUUUGUAGAAUGAACCGGCGAGUUACGAUUUGAUGCAAGGUUAAGCAGUAAAUGUGGAGCCGUAGCGAAAGCGAGUCUGAAUAGGGCGUUUAGUAUUUGGUCGUAGACCCGAAACCAGGUGAUCUACCCUUGGUCAGGUUGAAGUUCAGGUAACACUGAAUGGAGGACCGAACCGACUUACGUUGAAAAGUGAGCGGAUGAACUGAGGGUAGCGGAGAAAUUCCAAUCGAACCUGGAGAUAGCUGGUUCUCUCCGAAAUAGCUUUAGGGCUAGCCUCAAGUGAUGAUUAUUGGAGGUAGAGCACUGUUUGGACGAGGGGCCCCUCUCGGGUUACCGAAUUCAGACAAACUCCGAAUGCCAAUUAAUUUAACUUGGGAGUCAGAACAUGGGUGAUAAGGUCCGUGUUCGAAAGGGAAACAGCCCAGACCACCAGCUAAGGUCCCAAAAUAUAUGUUAAGUGGAAAAGGAUGUGGCGUUGCCCAGACAACUAGGAUGUUGGCUUA
rnacentral:rRNA from 1 species